UACGGAGGGUGCGAGCGUUAAUCGGAAUUACUGGGCGUAAAGCGUGCGCAGGCGGUUUUGUAAGCCAGAUGUGAAAUCCCCGGGCUUAACCUGGGAAUGGCAUUUGGGACUGCAAGGCUCGAGUGCGGCAGAGGAGACUGGAAUUCCUGGUGUAGCAGUGAAAUGCGUAGAUAUCAGGAGGAACACCGAUGGCGAAGGCAGGUCUCUGGGCUGACACUGACGCUCAUGCACGAAAGCGUGGGGAGCAAACAGG
rnacentral:rRNA from 1 species